CCCACGCAGGUCACAACGCUGUGCUUCUUCUCACUACCUUAGCCACAAUUCGGGCCAGAGCGGCAAAAUUGUUCCGAUGCAUACUGAAUAAGUGCGAGUAUGGGGGGGAAUUCUUCAGGCCUGGCCACAGUACUAUGGUGACACUUUUUGUGGGGCUCCCAAGACAGAUGGGGAAAGCUUCAUUAAAUUCACUCCUUGCUAUUAAAGGAAACGUGAAGUAGAGGGUUUAGAUACCACAAAACUUCAUCAUGGCCUUUCUGUCCUCCUAUCUUCUAGCUCUUGGAGACACUUCCGGUGACCUGGCCAAUACAUACAGUCGGCCGGGCGUCCCCUUGCUUUAUUGCUCAGAGACCCUUAGCAAGAUGUUUCCGCCACCAUAGGCAGGRGUGCUUGCGUAAACUUUUCCUUCUCUUAAGCGGGGAAAGCUCUCUCUCACUUCCGCUCUCUGGCCUGCUGGCCCCGCCUCCCUGCCCCCCGCUGGGUCCUAGCGCCUUCCCCUUUCUGGUAGUGUUCUGGGCUCUGUUGGUGCGUGAAGCCGACGCAGAUGCCACGGAGCCAGUCCAAGUCGGAUCAGUUGCAUCAACUCACCAGAUUUCUCCUGGCCUGAGAGGUUUAUGUGAUGACURUUUUCUUAAAGAUGGGGAGACUUAAAUGCCUCCUUUUUCACCUCAUCCCUGCUUCCAGACUAAGCUUUUGGGGGAAUUCAAUCUCUGCAUAUCUUGUGAUUACAGGUAACAGACUUGAGAGGUGGGGACAUGAGAUUAAGAGAUAAUUCUGUAGCCUGGGCCCACUGUGCUGGUCCCCACAUGCUUG
rnacentral:lncRNA from 1 species